rnacentral:misc_RNA from 1 species
CCGAGUUAUCAACUCCCAAACCCCUGUGAACAUACCUUUUGUUGCCUCGGCGGGAUCGCCCCGGCGCCUCCGGGCCCGGAUCCAGGCGCCCGCCGCAGGACCCAAACUCUUGUUUUCUAUAUGAAUCUUCUGAGUGACACAAGCAAAUAAAUUA